rnacentral:lncRNA from 1 species
UUUUUUAUGAAAUAUCGUACAAUGUAUGCGCUUUUAAAUUUCACCCUGCUUAGACGAACAAUUUUCUUUGUAAGAGUUAUCUGCCUAUUCACUGUUUAUCAUCUGAGUGCAUCUCCUUCGUAACAAAAAAAGAUAUCGACAAAUUUCUUUUUACAAAUUGUUCGUUAUGUCCUCAGAAAUUUUUGGCUUAUUUGGAUCGAAGCGAUUCCAUGAAAUUUUAUAGGAGUUAUCUACCUUUACAGAAUAAAUUUGUCGGUAUGAUUUUUUUAACUCAUAAACUAUUAACUGUAUAACCCUGGAAUGUUUUUAUUUGAGUCCCCUUGGUUCUAACUUAGAAAAUGAGGUCAAGGUCAAAGGUCAAGGUCAAGUUCUCAAUUGUAACUUUUGCUUGUUUUUGCAUUUUCUAUGACACUAUG